GACGAACGCUGGCGGCGUGCUUAACACAUGCAAGUCGAACGAAGUGGCGAACGGGUGAGUAAGGCGUAAUCAACCUGCCCUUCAGAGGGGGACAGCAGUUGGAAACGACAGCUAAUACCGCAUACUGAAGGAGGGGGUUGCGUCUGAUUAGCUAGUUGGAGGGGUAAAGGCCCACCCAGGCGAUGAUCAGUAGCCGGGCGUGAGGGGUGAACGGCCAACAUGGGACCGGGGCCAGGGCCAGAAUCCUUCGGGAGGCAGCCGUGGGGAAACUUCCGCAAUUGACGAAAGUCCGGCGACGCAACGCCGCGGUGGGGAUGACGGCCUUCCGGUUGGAAAGCCCUGUUAGUCGGGACGCGGUACCGGAAUAGAAAGCCACGGCUAACUACGUGCCAGCAGCCGCGGUAAUUC
rnacentral:rRNA from 1 species